ACAAUCACAGUGCGGUAGAUCGAAGAACGUGCGUUAGUGGACGACGCGAUACCAAUGAGAGAUCGAUAUUUUAAAAGCCGACAAAAUAUAUUUUAAUCUUAAUCCAUUUGCAUCACAUCUUUAAAUACGCAACUAACUUUAGAAAUCGGAGACUCAACUUCAACUGACAGUGAGUCGGCCUGUAAAAGUGAACGUAUUAUUCCGCGGUUGGUGAUAAGUGAACGUCGUGGCUCGCGGAAUAUUUCUCGCGGCUGGUGAUAAGUGACAAUCAUUAUGUGCGGAUUAUUCCGCUUGCGAAUGCAAAUCGGUUAAUUAUAACGCAGCGAUGCACGUGUGUCUCGUGUUGGAGUCUCUGCGCCACUGUGAACACCCCACGUGAAAGUGCGAAGACGUACGAAAGCAAGCACAUGACCUUUCUGACGAUUCGCGCGGUACUCUGGAAGCAUCGAUUGUUUGAUCAUGCUCGGCCGUCCAGUGGUGGGGGAUUACGGUUAGCGAUGCGGUGACGUAGCUGUUUUUGCUCAUUGUUUUCAUACUCUCGCGCGUCUCGCACGUCUCUCGUGCGACUGUUUACAUCUCGCGCCGAGAGAAGAAGCGACGCACAUACCGCGACGUGGAGCACGUGUGUUCGGUGCGUCAGCUGUAAUUCACGUCGGGCGAUUAAAAUAUUUCGUUACGCUCUGAAGUAUCCAGUCGAGCUCGCGUUGGUAUCGCGUUAACUACCAUGUGCUUCUUCGAUCGUACUGUAUCUACGCGAGUGAACAUCCAGAGUGCUACAGCGGAGCAGCCGGGAGCCAGGAUACCGGCCCGAAAAGCCAGGACGAAGGACACCGAGAUGUGGUCAGCGAUGCAUUAUGUAUAUUGAGACCUUCCUGAAGGUUCAUGGCCGCCGAACGGUGGACGUACUUCCCCGGGGGUGCAGUUUCCGUGGGACUCGAGGAUGCCGCACCGUAGGAUCCGGUUCGGGCCAAGCAGGGUCGGCUCGAAGAUCUGCGGCGUAACGCGGUCGACCCUGAUCUUCUAGUAUUCCCAGGGCACCUCUCUCUCUCUCUCUCUCUCCGAGGCUUGGUUCCGGAGAAUCGCUGACUUCCGGGCUGAUUCCGCACUUACCGGGUUCCGGCAGCAGAGAGCAGACACCAAGCGGUUCCGAGCGGAUACCAAGGGGGUUGAGCGCGCGCGGCGUCUCGACAGAGCGGUGUUUCUCGGAUGUUUCUCGCGUGUAUCGCGCGAGGUAGAUGCAUUACGAGCGAUGAGCGAAAAGUCGGCGAACUCGGUAAUUCAGUGGCGCGCGCCGGCAACGAGAAAUCGCCGGCGCGAGAGGCAAGGCCGAAGCCGUGGCGAUCGAUACCCCCCGAUUUAAUCGACGGAAUAAUCGGCCGCUCGCGGAACUCGGUCGCCCCGCGCGAGCUCGUCGGAGCUCGACGCGCACCCCCUGAUUAAAGUCUUAGACUCCUGGGAGCCAAUUUGGUAAGGAUUCACGGUUCGAUGCUCCCGACGUAGGAUCGACGGAAAAUUAGUUGUACGAAUGUUUCCUUCUCUCCUUCGUAAAUGCGGACGGGCGGAAGGCCGAGCGGCGAGCGGAUUAAACGUUUAUCCCUUUCGAUGCGCGCGCGAUUUCAGGCAAUCUACGUGUCUGAGCGUAACGAGCCGUUAGUUAUCCGUAGAAAUGGACUCGUAAAAGUGACUCGAAAAAUCGUGUCGUACGUGAGUAGCCGGCCGCGGCUCCUUCGUAGCGGGUUAUAUCGCGGCUUGCUUAUCGGGCUCAGCGCACCAUGAAAUUGGCUACUUUCACCCGUCUGAGUGUAAUGUUUAAUCAAAGUAUUCGAAUUAUCGGGCUAUCUUCCUGGAUGCCGUAGAGAGCGAGUCGCUGUAGGAGCACACGCGACGAUGGGAUCCGAUAUCAAAGUUGCAAAAUUAGACUCGUCCGCUGCGACGGGGGUGGUGUAAUCCAAGAGCGUCGCGAGGCUCUCGCCUCUUAGCCGACGAGGGAUGAUGUCGCGCUCGCGUCGUCGACGCUGAGCCGAAAAAUACAGCACGACGGAAAGUCGGUCGAGGGUCUCGCGCAUCUCGAAACGAGGCCGGAUCGCCGCGCCGGCGGGAUGGAAAUAAUCGUCCCGCUGCCGACGACGCUGCCGAGAAGUUGGAUUCUGCGAGGAGAGGAAGAAGCACCUUCGAAAUUCGAGAAUUCGAGCCGGUGAAAAAAUGUGUUUGCUGUACUUCGCGCGAUUUAUUAUUACCCCGCAUUCCGAUUUCGCCAAAAUCUCUGCCUCGGCGUAUUAUUGUUAGUUGUUAGUUUUCUGAAUUUGAAUCCGCGUUAUCACGGUUUCACAAGUUUGAACCCGCAUUACCAGUUUUAUAAAUUUAAGCGGCAUGCUGGGCGCAUAGAUCGAUAGCUGGCGUGAAAACAAUCGGCCCCAUCGUCCGGGCAUCGUUCGCGCGUGCAUUCGGCGCGAGGCGCCGAUUGUGGCCACGAUUUUUAAUGUAACACGUGCGAAUGAUACACAAAGCGUUGCAAUAAGCGCGAUUAAAACGAUGGCUGUCACCGUCGAGUAUCUCGCGCGAGUGCGAAAUUUUUAUCAAAUAUGUAAUGUUUGUUAACGCGUGUGCAAUACAAUGUGUAUAUUCGUGUGAUAGAUUCUGUUUCGAGACUUAACUUCAAUAAUAUAUAUAUAUA
rnacentral:lncRNA from 1 species